rnacentral:rRNA from 1 species
CGUACACUCCUACGGGAGGCAGCAGUGAGGAAUAUUGGACAAUGGGUGGAAGCCUGAUCCAGCCAUCCCGCGUGCAGGAAGACGGCCCUAUGGGUUGUAAACUGCUUUUAUCUGGGGAUAAACCUACUUACGUGUAAGUAGCUGAAGGUACCAGAAGAAUAAGCACCGGCUAACUCCGUGCCAGCAGCCGCGGUAAUACGGAGGGUGCAAGCGUUAUCCGGAUUUAUUGGGUUUAAAGGGUCCGUAGGCGGACUGAUAAGUCAGUGGUGAAAUCCGACAGCUUAACUGUCGAACUGCCAUUGAUACUGUUAGUCUUGAGUAAGGUUGAAGUGGCUGGAAUAAGUAGUGUAGCGGUGAAAUGCAUAGAUAUUACUUAGAACACCAAUUGCGAAGGCAGGUCACUAAGUCUUAACUGACGCUGAUGGACGAAAGCGUGGGGAGCGAACAGGAUUAGAAACCCUAGUAGUCCC